GUCGUAACAAGGUCUCCGUUGGUGAACCAGCGGAGGGAUCAUUACCGAGUUUUCAACUCCCCAACCCUUCUGUGAACCUACCUAUCGUUGCUUCGGCGGACUCGCCCCAGCCCGGACGCGGACUGGACCAGCGGCCCGCCGGGGACCUCAAACUCUUGUAUUCCAGCAUCUUCUGAAUACGCCGCAAGGCAAAACAAAUGAAUCAAAACUUUCAACAACGGAUCUCUUGGCUCUGGCAUCGAUGAAGAACGCAGCGAAAUGCGAUAAGUAAUGUGAAUUGCAGAAUCCAGUGAAUCAUCGAAUCUUUGAACGCACAUUGCGCCCGCCAGCAUUCUGGCGGGCAUGCCUGUUCGAGCGUCAUUUCAACCCUCGACCUCCCCUUGGGGACGUCGGCGUUGGGGACCGGCAGCACACCGCCGGCCCUGAAAUGGAGUGGCGGCCCGUCCGCGGCGACCUCUGCGUAGUAAUACAGCUCGCACCGGAACCCCGACGCGGCCACGCCGUAAAACACCCAACUUCUGAACGUUGACCUCGAAUCAGGUAGGACUACCCGCUGAACUUAAGCAUAUCA
rnacentral:rRNA from 1 species